rnacentral:rRNA from 1 species
GACGAACGCUGGCGGCGUGCUUAACACAUGCAAGUCGAACGGUGAAGCGCCUUCCUUUUUGGUGGGUGUGGAUGAGUGGCGAACGGGUGAGUAACACGUGAGUAACCUGCCCCCUUCUUCUGGAUAACCGCAUGAAAGUGUGGCUAAUACGGGAUAUUCUGGGUCUGUCGCAUGAUGGGUCUGGGAAAGAUAUUGUUUCGGUGGGGGAUGGGCUCGCGGCCUAUCAGCUUGUUGGUGGGGUGAUGGCCUACCAAGGCGGUGACGGGUAGCCGGCCUGAGAGGGUGGACGGUCAACUGGGGACGAGAACCCGGCCCGACUCCCAAGGGGGGGCGGCGUUGGGAAAAAUGGACAAUGGGGGCAAGGCUUAUGGCGCGGCGCCGGGUGGGGGAUGGAGGGCUUCGGGUUGGGAACCUCUUUCGCCAGGGAAGGCGGCCUGCCUCGUUUGUUGGUGGGUUGACGGUAGCUUGAGAAGUAGCGCCGGCUAACUACGUG